AUUUUGCCUAAAACAUACCAUUAAUAAUUUAUAAUAAAUUAAAUAAGUUUUUUUUUUUUUUUUUUUUAAAUUAAAUUACAUUAUAUAUUUUAUAAAAUCAAGUAUUCUAAACCGGAUCGGUGUUAACGUCACAAAUGAAGCCAACUUGCGUUAAUUCCCUCGAGUCAAGUAAAAGGUAAGCAAUCAUCUUCAGGAGUAUUGCAAUGACUAUCAAGGAUUUCACGGUGGUGAUGAUGAUGAUGAUGGUGACGAUGAUGAUGGUGGUGGUGGUGAUGAUACGAGUGGCUCUGACUCGGCGACAAGACAGU